CACGUAGGGCGCAAGCGUUGUCCGGAAUUAUUGGGCGUAAAGAGCUCGUAGGCGGUUUGUCGCGUCUGCUGUGAAAACUCGGGGCUUAACCCCGGGCCUGCAGUGGGUACGGGCAGACUAGAGUGCGGUAGGGGAGACUGGAAUUCCUGGUGUAGCGGUGAAAUGCGCAGAUAUCAGGAGGAACACCGGUGGCGAAGGCGGGUCACUGGCCCGAUACUGACGCUGAGGCACGAAAGCGUGGGGAGCAAACAGG
rnacentral:rRNA from 1 species